rnacentral:rRNA from 1 species
CCUACGGGUGGCUGCAGUGGGGAAUAUUGGACAAUGGGGGCAACCCUGAUCCAGCCAUGCCGCGUGUGUGAAGAAGGCCCUCGGGUUGUAAAGCACUUUCAGUGAGGAAGAACGCCUGGUGGUUAAUACCCAUCAGGAAAGACAUCACUCACAGAAGAAGCACCGGCUAACUCCGUGCCAGCAGCCGCGGUAAUACGGAGGGUGCGAGCGUUAAUCGGAAUUACUGGGCGUAAAGCGCGCGUAGGUGGCUUGAUAAGCCGGUUGUGAAAGCCCCGGGCUCAACCUGGGAACGGCAUCCGGAACCGUCAAGCUAGAGUGCAGGAGAGGAAGGUAGGAUUCCCGGUGGCGCGGUGAAAUGCGUAGAGGUCGGGAGGAAUACCAGUGGCGAAGGCGGCCUUCUGGACUGACAAUGACACUGAGGUGCGAAAGCGUGGGUAGCCAACCGGAUUAGAUACCCCGGUAGUC